AGGCGCGUAGCUCAGGGGUAGAGUGCUGCUAUUACAUAGCGGAGGUCGGAGGUUCGAAUCCUUCCCGCGCCUACCA
rnacentral:tRNA from 1 species